AUACUUACCUGGCAGGGGAAACACUGUGAUCACCAAGGCAGUUCUCCCUGAACAAUGUUCACCCAUUGCACUCUGGGUGUGCUGACCACCUAUGAUUUCCGCAAAUGUGGAAAACUAUACUGCAUGACUCCUUACCGCCGGGUGGGUCUAAACGCCAUCGGG
rnacentral:snRNA from 1 species